GCAAAAGUGAAAAUAUCUGCUGUGUGACUGCCGUGAUGCUGAAUGCAGUGCUUGUGUGGGGUGAAAGACUGUUUUCACACUUGUGCAUUGUCAGGUCCUAAACCCUUAAUUCAUUUUGAUUAGCCACUGUGAGGGAUUUGCCACAGCAUUUUCUGAAUGAGAAGGCAGACACUAUUAUUGGGUCAUGUUCUACCCCUUGUAAUAUUUAUUUCAGCACUUUGUUCAACUGAGAGAAAUGAUAUGCCUUGCUUUGUGCCAGGGGUUAUGCCAAAUCCUUCAUUCAAACUGUUUUUAAUGCAAGAGCCUUUGGCAGUAAUGUUAACUUUUCAGAAAAUUCAGAUCUCUAGCAGUUACCCUAGUAAGCUCCAGGGUUUGUGGUCUCUCCUGUGGCACUGUGGGGAUGGUGCUGGCUCCAGCCUCUGAAGGAUGUCAUGAGCUGUGAGGGGACCCCAUGUACAGGAGGAGAGGAACUCUGAAGUUGUUGCUGUUCUGUAGUAAAGUUCUGAAGACACACAGGAAGAGCUUACAGGCAUACUCUUACUUCGGGCGCAGACUCCAGAACAUCUACCAUUAGCUAAACUGAGUGGAGAAAGGAGGCUAUUUGGACAGAGUUAUCUGGACCUUAGUUAAGGUGGGUGACUAUUUGAUAUACCUAGCUCUUUCCAUAGACUACAUGAGAGGACUGAGUCCUAAUGUGCAUACAUCCCUUAAAUAUUUGAAGUAAAGUAAGCCAAGGACUCUGGUCUAACUCUGUUACAGCCUGUGUGCAUAUCUCUCUAUUCUCUCCGUAGUCAUACCCUGAUUCUCCUUAAGUAGUAUUUCUUCAUAGAGUACAAUGUAUGUAGAAUCAUUCUCUGCAUAUGCAGCAGUGGCUUAAUUGUAAAAAAAAAUCAAAAUUAAGGACAUAAAGGAAAGAUAUUCAGGGAAAAAAGUCAUCAGAAGGAAGAUGGGACUGAUACCAUGAUGUUCUACUUUACAUCUUUCCUACAUCAGUAGCAAGUAAAAUCUACGGUGUAUCUGUGCAAGGUUUGAAACAAAUGUUUAUGACACUAAAAUGUUUAUGACACUGUUUUAUGACUUCAUCUUCUUGAAAAUUUCUUCACUUCUUUUAUCAUGAGGACAGCUGUCACUGCUGAUUUCAACAACAGCUUGUUGGGUCACUUCAGUGUAUCUAAGGUCUGCAAAAAUGCCAUACAUCAAAAGUAGCUUCCAUUUUUAAUUUAUUUAUUUGCUUAUUUGUAUUUUCAGUACAAGUGUAUACACACUUUCCAGUCUUUGUAUUUACAGAUUACUCUUCCUUCAAUCUCAACAUUUCAGAAAAAUAUUUCUCUUAAUUUCUCUCUGUAUGAGGUAGUAUGCAUGCAUACAGGUGGUGUUAAAAAAGAGUUGUGUGUUUAUCAAUUUUGUCCAUUUCAGGCACAUUUUUUUGUUUGGCACAUAUCAUUGUCAUUAUAGACUUUACUUUUGAUGAAGUUAUUUACCUCACCUGGGGCUGUUGUUUAUGUGGUUUUGGGUUUUUUUUGUUCUGUUCGUUUGAUUUGUUUGGGUUUUUUUUCAAUGACCUGUUGGGUACAGCUAAGAGUAUGCAUUUUGACUUCAUUUGGUGUGUAUAUCUGUACACAGGUAAAUAAGAAAGAUGUCACCAGCCAUCUUGAAUUGCGGAGUUAGAGCAUUCAAUCUGAAAGCUAUGGUAUUUUAAAAAAAAUUUGUUUCAGUCCUGGAUUGUGAUAAUAAUUUUCAGUAUUUGUUUUCUUAUUCUGAGAAGCAGAAAGCUCUGCCUUCAUUAACACCACAAAAGAAGAACAAAUGUCUGUGAGAAGAUGGGCACGGAAAAGGAGAAUUUACUGAGGAUAAUCAAGUAACUAUUUUGAUGGGAAAAAAACCCCACAAAAAAUCAGUUCACCAUUCCUGUUAAACCUCUGAACAUGGGAUUUAAACCUUAUUGAUCUGUCUUGAAUCAGCUUGAAUUCCUUUAUUUUUUUUUAUAUUGAGCUUCAGUGGCCUUAGCAACUAAAAACCCUAGCCCGUAAUGGAGAAAUUGAGGAAUAUUAUUGCAACAUAACAUGUAGCAGAGUAAAAUCUAUAAAAAUCUCUCUGUCUGCAAAAUUGUAACUUGAUUAUCAACUUUUUAGUCUGGUAGUUCAGAGCAGAGGUCUACAGCAUAUCUCUUGUCAAAUGAUACCAGAAUAUUCUGCUCCAUCCUCAUUAUGACAAUCUAAACAAGCCUUGGUAGCAUGCUGAAGAGGACAAUCUGAUAUCAAAAUAGAGGUACUGAAAAAAUUAACUGGAAAAUACAUGAGUACAAAUACCAUAGCAAACAUCUUCCCCACUACCUGUAGAAAAUCUCAGAGAGUAAAUAUAAAAUGCCUCACUAUGGUAGAGAUGAAGCUGAUAUCAGCUUAUGCAUUAGAAAUAUUAAAGGUUCUGAUGAAAUCGUUAUUUUAAAUUCACUGGAUGUUUUUGGAGUUAUUAUCAUCUGAACUAAGCUUCAAUAAAAUUUAUUUUGCAUUAAACAGAGAUUGGAUUCAAAAAAAUUAUGCUUAGUGUGAUACUUGUAUUGGUAAGAUAGAGUAAUAUCCCUUUGGGACACUGAAAACAUACAUCACAGUGGAUAUAUUUAAGCCUGUGCAUGGGAAGUAAGCUGGAAUAGUCUAAAUUGAGGAAUAAUGUCAAGUCUAAAGAUCAUGCACUGAGAAAUGAGUAAAUUGUGGCUCUAUCAGGGAUUAUUAAUACCUCCCCUGGCUAAAAUCUUAAUCACACAAAUCCCAGGAAAAAAAAUCUUAUACAUUCAUAAGUUUUUGGCAGGUGAAUGAGACAAAUGGGGAUCAAAAAUCCUACAGCACUGAGAUGGAUGGUGAAGACCUUCUUCUGAUUAUUUCUGUAGAGUUAGAAAAGGAUCAGAAUAACCCAUGCUUUUUGGUGGUUUCUGCAAGAGCAGACAAUAAAAAUGGUUCUUGUACAGUUCUCAUGUAUUGCUUUGAUAUGAAGACUAAGACAACUUCUUCUGUGGAGAGCUAUAGUUAUCUUUGCAUUGGGCUUAUUUGAAACUAAACCUGAAAAAUGCCAAUACUGUCUUACAGAGAAUGUGUAUGUUAGCUCAGAUAAAGUGAAAUGGUUCUAAGGUGUACAGUCAUGUGGAAAACCUCUUAAGUGAGGAUGUUUAGUGAUUCUGCAGCUUUAAAAGACAGAAAAAUUCUGAAGCUGGAUAAAACUUGUGAUGUACUCUAUACAAUAAUGAUAAAUUUUGUACUAUAUGGAUUAAAAAUCAGUCAAUUUUUUUUCAUAGGAGCCUUUGCACAAACUCUCAGGUGGAGAAGAGUUCACUGUACUUCUGUCACCAGAACCAGGAAUCAACUUGGGUAGCUGGUACUGUAGGGAAAAAAAGUUGCCGGGUGGACCUACAAUAAAGAAAAAACAUACAGAAUUUUUCUCCUCAAAUAAGCCUAA